CAAAAGUUGUCUUCACCGAUCUAACUUAAGCCAUCUGCCUUAUUUUAUGUAUUUUCUAAAGAACCUUCCCCUCCUCCUCAAUUAGAAAGACCAGACCCAGCUGUUGCUGAAAGGAUAGCCAUUGUGCUCAAGUUCCUUAACUAAACCUUAGAUGAGAUUGCCUCAAAUACAGAAGUUAAGGCACGUCUUAUCGAUGCUACACCCUUUCUCUACAACAGGAUCUCGACUGAGGCUCUUUCUUCUCUUGGGGUAUUCAUGAGAUUGUUUAUGCUCUUUCCUCCAAGCUUCAAGAGUCACAAGAGGUAUUGGACAAGUCAGUCAAGGCCUUGGCCGAGCAUGAUAAACAGCUCAAAAAACGUGACGAGGCCAAGUCUCAGAUCAAAUGCAGGUCGCAACCCACCUCAGUGAGUUGCUUGAUGGUAGCAGAGCGGAGGAUCUUAUUCUAUUUUGUUGUUAGUAGGGUUAUUUUGAUUUGUACUCUCACUUUUGUAUUUACUUUUGCUUUAGAGGCUUACUUUGAGAGUGAUAUUCUGUAUAAGUUGUAUACUUUCAAAACUAUGUAUGUCAGUAUUUAACUAGUCGGCCCAAACUCCGCGGGCUGUGGCUAGUAUCUUAUGAUUAUUAUACUCUUAUAUAAUUAUAUAUAUCUUGUUACCUUACA